GAUGAACGCUAGCUACAGGCUUAACACAUGCAAGUCGAGGGGAAACGAUAUUGGAAGCUUGCUUCCGAUAGGCGUCGACCGGCGCACGGGUGAGUAACGCGUAUCCAACCUGCCCACCACUUGGGGAUAACCUUGCGAAAGUAAGACUAAUACCCAAUGAUAUCUCUAGAAGACAUCUGAAGGAGAUUAAAGAUUUAUCGGUGAUGGAUGGGGAUGCGUCUGAUUAGCUUGUUGGCGGGGUAACGGCCCACCAAGGCGACGAUCAGUAGGGGUGCUGAGAGGAAGGUCCCCCACAUUGGGACUGAGACACGGUCCAAACUCCUACGGGAGGCAGCAGUGAGGAAUAUUGGUCAAUGGGCGAGAGCCUGAACCAGCCAAGUAGCGUGCAGGAUGACGGCCCUAUGGGUUGUAAACUGCUUUUAUAAGGGAAUAAAGUGAGUCUCGUGAGACUUUUUGCAUGUACCUUAUGAAUAAGGACCGGCUAAUUCCGUGCCAGCCGCCGCGGUAA
rnacentral:rRNA from 1 species